UACGUAGGGUGCGAGCGUUGUCCGGAAUUAUUGGGCGUAAAGGGCUCGUAGGCGGUUUGUCGCGUCGGGAGUGAAAACUCAGGGCUUAACCCUGAGCCUGCUUCCGAUACGGGCAGACUAGAGGUAUGCAGGGGAGACUGGAAUUCCUGGUGUAGCGGUGAAAUGCGCAGAUAUCAGGAGGAACACCGGUGGCGAAGGCGGGUCUCUGGGCCGUAACUGACGCUGAGGAGCGAAAGCAUGGGGAGCGAACAGG
rnacentral:rRNA from 1 species